rnacentral:rRNA from 1 species
UACGUAGGAGACGAGCGUUGUCCGGAGUUACUGGGCGUAAAGGGCGCGCAGGCGGCCGCCCGCGUGUGUGGUGAAGGCUCCUGGCUUAACUAGGAGAGGUCCAUGCAGACGGGGUGGCUUGAGCGUCGGAGAGGGGCAUGGAAUUCCGGGUGGAGCGGUGAAAUGCGCAGAUAUCAGGAGGAACACCGAUGGCGAAGGCAGGUCUCUGGGCCACUACUGACGCUGAGAAGCGAAAGCAUGGGGAGCGAACAGG